rnacentral:rRNA from 1 species
GACGAACGCUGGCGGCGUGCUUAACACAUGCAAGUCGAACGGUGAAGCGCCUUCCUUUUUGGUGGGUGUGGAUGAGUGGCGAACGGGUGAGUAACACGUGAGUAGCCUGCCCCCUUCUUCUGGAUAACCGCAUGAAAGUGUGGCUAAUACGGGAUAUUCUGGGUCUGUCGCAUGAUGGGUCUGGGAAAGAUAUUGUUUCGGUGGGGGAUGGGCUCGCGGCCUAUCAGCUUGUUGGUGGGGUGAUGGCCUACCACGGCGGUGACGGGUAGCCGGCCUGAGAGGGUGGACGGUCACACUGGGACUGAGACACGGCCAAGACUCCUACGGGAGGCAGCAGUGGGGAAUAUUGCACAAUGGGCGCAAGCCUGAUGCAGCGACGCCGCGUGAGGGAUGGAGGCCUUCGGGUUGUGAACCUCUUUCGCCAGUGAAGCAGGCCUGCCUCGUUUGUGGGUGGGUUGACGGUAGCUGGAUAAGAAGCGCCGGCUAACUACGUG